rnacentral:misc_RNA from 1 species
AAAAGAAGAAAAAUUGAAAUGCUUGUUUCCCAUCAAGAUUCCACCAUGCAUAUUACUAGAUAUGGCAGGAAAAUGAAAUGCAUGAACCAAUGCAGAAGUUGGAAAAUGAAUCAUCAAUUUACUCAAAACUGAAAUAAGUGGAUCUGAGAACUGCUCGUCAUUUCACCCAACUGAUGUUUUGGCUGAAACUUUAAAGGGAAAGCUUGCUAAAAACUUCUAGAAAGAAUAAAUUCUAGAAAUUAGUUUUAGUUAAAAACUAAUUCUAACGACUGCAUAAUGCUUUUGUCUUGUGGCACAAAAAGGGAAGCGUUUUACAGAACAACAAACAUGUCAAGGAUUGAAUGUUUCAUACUUCAACCUUCUCAACUAAUAACAAAUAGUAAAUGCUGGCACUUCACACGUAACGACACCAAAAUCGCUUCAAGCCUCAAACAUUAACCGAAAGCCCAACCUCAAACAUUAACUGAAAUUUCUAGACCCAUCCUAACAUAACAAGUGGAAAGCAGAUUUUCUACAAGUGUAACCUCAUAGUGCCUAGAAAUUUCAUGAUGUUUCCCUCUUCAAAAGUCUUAACAAGUAGAAACAAAUAGAAUCAACUCACACUUUAUGCUUUAGGACGCAGAGGACAUGAGCGCUAUAACAAUUACAAAUUCUAGAUUUUAUAAUAUUCCCAAACAAAACAAAGAAGAGUGGGGUAAAUACCACAGGUUUGAGCAGU